rnacentral:rRNA from 1 species
CUACGGGAGGCACCAGUGAGGAAUAUUGCACAAUGGGGGGAACCCUGAUGCAGCAACGCCGCGUGGAGGAUGACGCAUUUCGGUGUGUAAACUCCUUUUAUAUGUCAAGAAAAUGACGGUAGCAUAUGAAUAAGCACCGGCUAACUCCGUGCCAGCAGCGCGCGGUAAUACGGAGGGUGCAAGCGUUACUCGGAAUCACUGGGCGUAAAGGACGCGUAGGCGGGUUGGAAAGUCAGGUGUGAAAUCCUACAGCUUAACUGUAGAACUGCACUUGAAACUUCUAAUCUAGAGUAUGGGAGGGGGAGAUGGAGUUAGUGGUGUAGGGGUAAAAUCCGUAGAUAUCACUAGGAAUACCUAAAGCGAAGGCGAUCUCCUGGAACAUUACUGACGCUAAGGCGUGAAAGCGUGGGGAGCAAACAGGAUUAGAUACCCGUGUAGUC